UGGGGAAUAUUGCACAAUGGGCGCAAGCCUGAUGCAGCCAUGCCGCGUGUAUGAAGAAGGCCUUCGGGUUGUAAAGUACUUUCAGCGAGGAGGAAGGCGUUGUGGUUAAUAACCGCAACGAUUGACGUUACUCGCAGAAGAAGCACCGGCUAACUCCGUGCCAGCAGCCGCGGUAAUACGGAGGGUGCAAGCGUUAAUCGGAAUUACUGGGUGUAAAGCGCACGCAGGCGGUCUGUCAAGUCGGAUGUGAAAUCCCCGGGCUCAACCUGGGAACUGCAUUCGAAACUGGCAGGCUAGAGUCUUGUAGAGGGGGGUAGAAUUCCAGGUGUAGCGGUGAAAUGCGUAGAGAUCUGGAGGAAUACCGGUGGCGAAGGCGGCCCCCUGGACAAAGACUGACGCUCAGGUGCGAAAGCGUGGGGAGCAAACA
rnacentral:rRNA from 1 species